GCCGUUGUGGUGAAAUGGUAAACACAGAGCUUUCAAAAAGCUCCAACAUUAUGUUUUAUCGGUUCGAGUCCGAUCAGCGGCA
rnacentral:tRNA from 1 species